GACAGAGGGUGCAAACGUUGUUCGGAAUUACUGGGCGUAAAGCGCGUGCAGGCGGCUUCGUAAGUGGAUUGUGAAAUCUCCCGGCUCAACUGGGAGGGGACGGUCCAGACUGCGAGGCUGGAGGCAGGGAGAGGGAGGUGGAAUUCCCGGUGUAGUGGUGAAAUGCGUAGAUAUCAGGAGGAACACCGGUGGCGAAGGCGGCUCUCUGGACCACAACUGACGCUGAGGCGCGAAAGCUAAGGGGAGCAAACAGGGAU
rnacentral:rRNA from 1 species